AUGGAAGCCGCCGGCCCUCCAACGCAGCCGCCGGCGCCGCACCCAUUGGUGGCUCCGUUGUCGUUUCUGCUGGGCAAGUGGCGCGGCGAGGGCGAGGGGACCUUCCCCUCCAUCGCCCCGUUCCGCUACGGCGAGGAGAUCCUCUUCUCCCACCACCCUUCCAAGCCGGUGAUCUCGUACACGCAGAGGACGUGGAAGGCGGCGUCCGGCGACCCGAUGCACGCCGAGAGUGGGUACUGGCGGCCCCGCCCCGACGGCUCCGUCGAGGUGGUCAUCGCCCAGAGCACAGGCCUCACCGAGGUCCAGACAGGUUCAUAUGAUAGUGAAAAGAAAACGGUGACACUCCAAAGCGAACUUAUUGGCAAUGCAGCAAAGGUGAAGCAGAUCACGAGGGCUUUUCAGGUGGUGGAUGGGGAGCUCUCGUACGUCGUUCAGAUGGCAACAAUCACAAACAGUCUACAGCCGCAUCUGAAAGCGCUUCUCAAGAGGAUCUGA
rnacentral:rRNA from 1 species